CAGUCGCCGCGGUAAUACGAAGGGUGCGAGCGUUAAUCGGAAUUACUGGGCGUAAAGCGUGCGUAGGCGGUUUGUUAAGUCUGUUGUGAAAUCCCCGGGCUCAACCUGGGAAUGGCAAUGGAUACUGGCAAGCUAGAGUGUGUCAGAGGAUGGUGGAAUUCCCGGUGUAGCGGUGAAAUGCGUAGAGAUCGGGAGGAACAUCAGUGGCGAAGGCGGCCAUCUGGGACAACACUGACGCUGAGGCACGAAAGCGUGGGGAGCAAACAGGAUUAGAUACCCCAGUAGUCCCUGUCUCUUAUAC
rnacentral:rRNA from 1 species